rnacentral:rRNA from 1 species
CAGCAGCCGCGGUAAUACCGGCGGCCCGAGUGGCGGUCACUAUUAUUGGGCUUAAAGCGUCCGUAGCCGGGUUGGGAAGGCCUCCGGGAAAUCUGGCCGCUUAACGGUCAGAAUGCCGGAGGAUACUCCCAGCCUAGGGAGCGGGAGAGGCCGAGGGUAUUCCCGGAGUAGGGGUGAAAUCCUAUAAUCCCGGGAGGACCACCUGGGGCGAAGGCGCUCGGCUGGAACGCGUCCGACGGUGAGGGACGAAGGCCAGGGGAGCAAACCGGAUUAGAUACCCGGGUAGUCCUGGCUGUAAACGAUGCGGACUUUGUGUCGGACAAGCUAUGAGCUUGUCCGGUGCCGGAGGGAAACCGUUAAGUCCGCCGCCUGGGGAGUACGGCCGCAAGGCUGAAACUUAAAGGAAUUGGCGGG